AGAUCGAUGAAACACACCUCGCCUACACCAGUAUUUUUGUGGGCAUGCGCACUAACGAACAGUUUGGUCACGUGGUUCGAUAACCGAGGUGUCUUGCUGAGCGAGUUUCGUCAGUCUAGCAGUGGGCUCAUGGUGAGCUGCCAAGGCAGCGCGAAGACGGAGCGCAAGGAUUGAUUCACCGCCAGCGGCCCUUACAACAUGGAAGAACCCAAUCGUGGAAGACCACCGCGUCCUUACCAACACAAUGCCAGGUCCAGAAGCCACAGCUCUCAAGAGGACCAAGAGGCGCGCGCGCCUAUCCGACGCCAGACUCGUACCCCGCCGCAAGCUCCAAUGUGCAACAUGCCUCGCAACAAGUUCAAUACUUUGACCAGCCGCGACACGAGAACACGACAUAUGGGCAGCCAUUGGUCAAUACUUAGGCCCAGGGUACUGCUCGAGAAUACGCUUUAAGACAGCUAAACCCUGCGGGAACGUAUUGCAGCGGACAGCAAAAUUCUGCAGCAUCUUUUCAAUCACACAGUGCAUCUAGUUAUCAUCCUCUCGCUGGCGAAGCCGGUGGUUAUGCCCCUGCCGCUGCUGUAACGCCUCAACAGCCCUCAUCGCUUUACCGAACACUCGGAAACUGGGACUCCAGUCGCUCAACUGGACAACGUCCACAGUCACUUCCAGGCGAACUUUUUCGGCUAAGAAUCGAUGGCCCACAAGAAACAUUGCAACGCGUGUCUCCGCAAAGGACGGCCGGAAGAGGGCGUGGCAUUCGAAGAGGGCCUUCCACCUUGCGUCCUCCGAUGCAACACGCAGUCCGUGGGCGCCAAGCACAGCCAGCGGUUACUCACGCACCUCCGGUACAGUCACAACCUGCAACGUCAGUGCUCCAGAGGUACGGAACGGAAUCGAGCUUUCACCACGGGAACGCGCCACCGUGAGGACCUUACUCGGGAUCCGAGAACACAAUUUCUGCAGCAGCAAAACGAGAAGCAGCUUGCCAGCAGCCUCUUCGAAGCGCCAGGGCUGCUGCGACCAGAAACUUCACUGACGACAGCAACGAGCAUUGCUCGUGAGCCGUAGAGCCUUUGGCACGUGUAGCAUUUUAUCCACUCGUCCUACAACAGCAGUUUUAUGUAAGACAUGCCUGUUCGGUUGUAUAUUUUUAAAUUUUUCUAUUGUUUGUGUGUCGCAUCUGCAUGAAGACUGCAAACGCGCUAGCACUUCUUAAUUUCACUCCUUAAAUCACCAUAGAAGACUUUGGCAAAGAAGUCGAUUAAUUCUUAAGGAAACUAAUAUUUUUAAGCUGGACAGGGGCUCUUUGUCCUGAAGCUUCACCAUGAAGCAAGCUUCUGGUCUCCCAUGAUUUUUCUGAAGAGCCCGUUGCAAUAGGCACGUUAAAUGUCAUUCCCAGAAAAUUGAUACCGCUGUUUGCAAGAUGGCCGAAUGCCAUAGCAAAAGCGCACUGUAGAAUACAAAAAGCAGUGACCAGAGUUAGUGCAUUGAGAAAAUUUAAUUAGUGAGAAUGGUAAAUCGUUGCGGCAUCUAAUAUCAUGUCUGUGUGGGAGGUAGCAGAAGUUAUGGGUCUACGCAUCUUUGCCACAUUAUCUGGUAUUUAAUAUAGGCAUUCUUCAUUUAGUGCAACUUGUACUGGUACUUUGAAACACCAGUGUAUGAAUUUCAAAUGAAUUGUCCUAUGGAACUGCGUAUAAACAUUACU